GAUGAACGCUGGCGGCGUGCCUAAUACAUGCAAGUCGAGCGAACGGACGAGAAGCUUGCUUUUCUGAUGUUAGCGGCGGACGGGUGAGUAACACGUGGAUAACCUACCUAUAAGACUGGGAUAACUUCGGGAAACCGGAGCUAAUACCGGAUAAUAUUUUGAACCGCAUGGUUCAAAAGUGAAAGACGGUCUUGCUGUCACUUAUAGAUGGAUCCGCGCUGCAUUAGCUAGUUGGUAAGGUAACGGCUUACCAAGGCAACGAUGCAUAGCCGACCUGAGAGGGUGAUCGGCCACAUUGGAACUGAGCCACGGUCCAGACUCCUACGGGAGGCAGCAGUAGGGAAUCUUCCGCAAUGGGCGAAAGCCUGACGGAGCAACGCCGCGUGAGUGAUGAAGGUCUUCGGAUCGUAAAACUCUGUUAUUAGGGAAGAACAUAUGUGUAAGUAACUGUGCACAUCUUGACGGUACCUAAUCAGAAAGCCACGGCUAACUACGUG
rnacentral:rRNA from 1 species